CACAAGUAAGACAGGUGUUUAUCAUCUUUAUUAGGUUUAAAGGGUACCUAGACGGCAAUUUAACUAUAAAGGUAAAAAUUAGCUAGAGUUUUAAAUGAGAGGUAAAUAUUAGAACAGUUGGUGGAGAGAUAUAAUUUUAUUAUACUAGCUGGAAGUGUAAAGGCGAAGGCAACCCUCUAUCUACAAACUGACGUUGAGGGACGAAGGCUUGGGGAGCAAAUAGG
rnacentral:rRNA from 1 species